rnacentral:ncRNA from 1 species
CGCCACUGUGGUGGAUUCUCCCUAUCUACUAUCUAGCGAAACCACAGCCAAGGGAACGGGCUUGGAAUAAUUAGCGGGGAAAGAAGACCCUUUUGAGCUUGACUCUAAUCUGGCAGUGUAAGGAGACAUAAGAGGUGUAGAAUAAGUGGGAGAUAUUAGACCUCGGUUUGGUAUCGUCAAUGAAAUACCACUACUCUUAUUGUUUCCUUACUUACUUGAUUAAAUGGAACGUGUAUCAUUUCCUAGCCAUUAUACGGAUAUAUUUAUUAUAUCUUAUGGUAUUGGGUUUUGAUGCAAGCUUCUUGAUCAAAGUAUCACGAGUUUGUUAUAUAAUCGCAAACAAAUUCUUUAAUAAAACGAUGCAUUUAUGUAUUUUUGAUUUGAAAAUUUGGUAUAACUCCAAUUACUCAGGUAUGAUCCAAUUCAAGGACAUUGCCAGGUAGGGAGUUUGACUGGGGCGGUACAUCUCUCAAAUAAUAACGGAGGUGUCCCAAGGCCAGCUCAGUGCGGACAGAAACCACACAUAGAGCAAAAGGGCAAAUGCUGACUUGAUCUCGGUGUUCAGUACACACAGGGACAGCAAAAGCUCGGCCUAUCGAUCCUUUUGGUUUAAAGAGUUUUUAACAAGAGGUGUCAGAAAAGUUACCAUAGGGAUAACUGGCUUGUGGCGGCCAAGCGUUCAUAGCGACGUCGCUUUUUGAUCCUUCGAUGUCGGCUCUUCCUAUCAUUGUGAAGCAAAAUUCACCAAGCGUUGGAUUGUUCACCCAUGCAAGGGAACGUGAGCUGGGUUUAGACCCGUCGUGAGACAGGUUAGUUUUACCCUACUAAUGACAAAACGUUGUUGCGACAGCAUUUCCUGCGUAAUACGAGAGGAAACGCAGGUACGGACCAUUGGCACAAUACUUGUUC